rnacentral:tRNA from 1 species
GCCCGGAUGGUGGAAUUGGUAGACACGCAAGCUUGAGGUGCUUGUGCCUAUUAGGUGUGGGGGUUCAAGUCCCCCUUCGGGCA